CAGAAUGAGCACACUGAUGCCUAAAGAGCAUGGUGGAGUAGAAGGGGCAUCCGCUUUGGAAUCAAACAGACCUGGUUUUCAACCCCCCACUCUGCCACCUUGGGGAUCAGGUCUCACCCUGUCUCAGGAAGACGUCAGGGGUCAGCACAAGGCCAGACUCCGAGUUGAUGAGUCACUCUGGGAGAAGGCCAAUCGCAGGAUGAAGGUCUGGUUCCAUUAAAAGCAGGCAACGUGGUGGAAAAACGUAUUUUGGAGAAAGCAGUAGAAGGGUGAGGCCAACAAACUUUGGUUCUUCUCCAAGCCAGUACAUCUGCUAUGGCACCCAUGGAGAACCACUGAAAGGUGUGGUGAAAAGCUAGAGCCCACAUGCAUUACUGCUCCUUCUUUCCCACACGUCACCACCACCAUUACCUCCAUUACCACACCUCUCCACCGUCAUCACCAUCUCCGCCCCUACCCCCCAUCACCUCCGCUAGCUUCCCUCCAUUGCCAUCACAUUAUUUGGCAGGUACCAUUCUAGGAGCUGUGUUUCCUUUUCAUUUAAUUUAUUUAACAUGAGCUGUUUUCUUUAAUAACGAGGAAACCAUUAGAGACGUCGGGCAACAUGACCAAGGUAUAUGUCUUGGGGUCACAGAGUUGGAAUUCUCACCCAAGCCUGUCUAAUACUAAGGCUGUGCUCUCGACCACUGUGCCAGACCAAAGAUGCCCCUUGAGGCAGAAGGGUAGAGUCCAGAUGAACAAACAAACCACAAAGCAAAGGCCGAUCCUACUCCAUCCCACCGACAGCUACUCCUCUCUUUCUGCUCAUAUGGACGUUCAGUGACACCAUAGUACUCUUUAGAAUCAUGGGUGAUUAUUAUCCUUCUUCUCCCUUGGGGCCAUGGCUCCCUUCCUCAUUUUCACCAGCAAGAGGCAGUUGCCACGUCCCUUCUAUUGUAAAUCAUCAUGGCCAUUCUUGCCUUCCCAGUGGGUCACUGUGACCUCUGCUUGAGGAUUUCAGGGAAAUACCAAUUUCUUUCACAAAAGCUCCCCAACAUCUAGCACAGCAGGAGACGUAAGCCAAAUCUUAACAUGUGAGGACUGAACGAAGUGCAGGGCCACCUGCUAGCCCCACGUGCCCUAGGCUUAGGACACACAGCACUGGAAAGGCCACCCUUCCAAGAAUCCCAGGCAUGUGUUCCUUCACAAGAAGAUUAGAGGCCAGGGGAACACAGGUGAGUCAGUCAUGAGCUACAAAGAGUUAAUGUUGGAGCAGACCUGGCAAGGAGGUAAACAGUCUGUCGAAGGUUCCUGAGUCUUUUCUCUGCCUGUGCCAGCACCGGAGCAAUGGCUCAGCCAGGUAGCCGUCUCCUGUUGCUGGCUUGGAAAAAUUUCCAGGGGACUCUUCGAGCAUUAGCAUUUUGGAAUGAACCUGAUCCCAGUUAAAGAACCAAAUGUCAGAAAAGCUGAACAUAAAUCUUGCCUAGGGUAAGGAUUCCUUGACAGAUUUUUUUUUUUUCACUAGGGUUACAAGAAAGAAAAGGCCAGCCUGAUUCUAUGAGCCAUGAUCAUAGUACUUCUCUUUCUGGAAAAAACUUGUGGUUGCAGAGGUUUUCUGUUAUUUGAGCUCCUGGAAACUGUCUGUGGCUGUGGGUCCUGCUCCCGCAUUGGGGUGCUGGUUCCGUGGGACACUCCCUGUAGUAGACAGGCAGCGUUAGUCUAUUCUGUCAAAUGAGGUGCAGCUGUAUUCACUGCUUAUAGUGAAAUUCACAGGAAGUUAAACCACAAUCCGUGUUACAGAAUCCAUUCCAGGCAUUUGCAUUUUGCAAUAUUAAAGCAGGUAAAGUACAUCCUCGGGGUCUUCCACCCCUAGCUUCCAGAAGACCAAUCUUAUACUACUUAUAACAACUGCAGCAGCUAAUGUUUAAAGAGACCUUACUCUGCCCUAUUUUACAUCCAUAAUCUCACUAAUCCUCAUGACAAUCCUAUGAGAUACAUACUAUCCCCAUUUUAUAGGUGAAACUGACCCAGAAGGGUUCCAAAGCUUUUCUAAAUUCACACCGAACGUAUGUCAGAACAAAGAUGUGACCUUCAGGCUGUUGGAUUCCAGGGAUCCUGAUACUAACUUCUGGGUAAUGAUACCUCUGGGUAAAAUAAAAGACACUGAACCCCAGUGGGAUUGUUGCUUCCACAUCUUCCAACCCCCAAGGUCUUCAAAGACACACACGCAGUUGACUACAGGAGUAAAUUGCAGGUGAGUUACUGGGGCCAGUGCACCGAAUUUCCAGAAGCAGGCUGCUUUUGAUGGGAAUGUAUGCCUGGGAGAGCUCUGUACCUGUGCAACUCAGGAGCUGGACUGAUACCUAACGAACACACCUGUAUCAUUAACAAGAAAGAAUAGUGAGACCCAGCAGACUGACCACACCAGUGUAAGUCAAGAGCACCAGGUUCUGAUCACCUUAAUGUAUAAUCUCUUGCUUUUGGUUAGAUGGGACGACUGAACCAUAGGAGGAGAAUUGGAGUGAGUGGUGAAGAUUAUUCUCCAUCAAUCCCUGGGCACUCUGUUGUCAGCACAGAGGGCUAGGGCAGAGAAAGAGUUCUAUGAAGAGAGAAGGAAAGCAAGCUGACCCACGUAUUCUGGGAGUGUGUGUAAGGGACAGGUGGAUGUGGGUCCAAUCUUCUGAGCCCCCACAUCACAGCAAAUCAUUCUAAGGGAUACCAAGGACAAAUUACUGAUUCUAGGGCAAACGAAAUAAGAUGAAUCUGGUUUUACCUGAUAUAACACCAAUUCUGAUCACCUCUUUUUCUUUUCUUUAAAACUGGACUAAGAACUCAAUGACUUACUUUAUUGUUCUGUUUAAACAAUUAAAUUUAUGCACCAAUGUUAAAGAUACCUGUAGUAUCUUUAUUAUUUUUUUAAGUUUUUAUUUAUUUAUUUUGACAGAGAGAAAGCACAAGCAGGGAAGGGGCAGAGAGAGGGGAGAGAGCAAGCAUCCCAAGCAGGCUCUGCACCAUGAGAGAAGAGCCCAAAGCGGGGUUUGAACUCAUGAACAGUGAGAUCAUGACCUGAGCUGAAGUCUAACGCUUCACCGGCUGAGCUCCCGAGGUGCCCCAGUAUCUUUAUUAUUUUAACUUUAUUCUUUCAACCUUAACCCAAAUUCAACAGGAAGCAAACUUCACAAGCUCUUAGUGUGAGCAUUACUCUCAGGACCUUAUUAUUAUUCUAAUACUGAGCAGAUACAUGCUUUUCUUCUGCUAGUGACACUGUGGAUCUGGAGAGCUCACACACACACACACACACACGCGCGCGCCUUCGAUGCAUGUAACAAAUAGUAGUAUAAAUUCUAUAGUAAUCAUUGGGUAUUGCUUUCCUUUGGGGAAAAGAAGACAAGUUUGUACCCAUGGCCCCGGUGGUUACAAUGGUCUUCUCUGUAACCGGACUAUAAAGAAAUCCAAUCAGUUGAUGAUAGACACAAGAGCCC